ACCCUACGGGAGGCAGCAGUGGGGAAUAUUGCGCAAUGGGGGGAACCCUGACGCAGCAACGCCGCGUGCAGGAAGAAGGUCUUCGGAUUGUAAACUGUUGUCGCAGGGGAAGAAGACAGUGACGGUACCCUGUGAGAAAGUCACGGCUAACUACGUGCCAGCAGCCGCGGUAAUACGUAGGUGGCAAGCGUUAUCCGGAUUUACUGGGUGUAAAGGGAGCGUAGACGGAAUUGCAAGUCUGAUGUGAAAAUCCGGGGCCCAACCCCGGAACUGCAUUGGAAACUGUAUUUCUAGAGUGUCGGAGG
rnacentral:rRNA from 1 species